UGGUUUCCAAAAAAGGAAAGAGAGAGGGACACGUGAGAGAGAGAGAGAGAGAAAGAGAACUGAUCCGGUUUGACCUGCCAAUCCGACCCGACCCGCGACCUUGACCCGGACGGAUCUCGCGAUUCCGGCAAUCUCACCGGCCGAUCUUGGUACCGAUCUGAAGCUUGGAAGCCGGCCGUAGUAACGCAGCCGUCCUGGUUGCCGGAAAAUGACUGGAACGCCGUCGUUUGAAGCUCGCAAAAUUCACGGCCAAAAACCCAUCACCAUCGCCGUCGAUUCGCCGGAGUUUGGGCACACCUCCAGCUGGGUUCUACUCCUCACGUCACCAGCAACAUUUUACGAUCAACCUUGUCACCUGAGACGGUCGGAUUGUCGACGAUCGGCCACUUGGAAAGCUCGCGGCUUUGGGAGCACGAUCCGCCGCCAUAGCCGCGCGUGGGAGGUCACCGCUAACACCAUUGGACUCAUCGAGGUCUGAAAUAUCAGACCUAGGCUUCCGGUCGUCGUUGACUGAAGUCCGGUCACCGUUGACCGGCAGGGGCAAUUCGGUAAAUUCAUAAAACUUUAGGGUGAAUUUGUAAUUUAUGGAAUCAGUGGAUAAAUUUGGUAAUUUUAGGUUAGGGCAGUGAGGUAAUUUGAGAUUUCGAGGGUAAUUUGAUAAUUUAAGCCGUUAAGGACAUUUUGGUAAUUUUACUUGCCGAGGGUAAUUUCGUAAUUUCUGACAUUGUUGUAAUUUCGUGAUCUGAAUUGAGGACAAUUUAGUAAUUGAAGAUUUUGAGGAUAAUUUGGUAAAAUAAUGAUGUUGGGAGCAUUUUGGUAAUUUUUGCAUGUUGGGGUAUUUUGGUAAUUUUUGUGCAUACAGGAAUAGUUUAUUAUUGAUAGAUAUUGGUUUCGAGAAUUAUUAUGUAAAAUUAGUUGUAUUUCAAGUUUACGGAGAAUGAUUAUGUCGUUUCAUUGAUUAGGAGGAUCCGCGAACGAGAAUCAACCUGCGGACGUUGUUGAUACCGAGUCUGGACUUCGUCACUGUGAGUGAAAUAUACAAAACCUAUUUUCAUAGUAUAUGCUGAUUUUAUGAUACAGUGCAGUAUGUUUUGAUAAAUAAGUAUUUGAUGCUUCAAUUUAAUGAUUUUUUAGAAAAUUGAUUUUUAUCUAUGUGUUGAUAUUUAUUGUUAUUAAGAAUGAGUUUGAUUAAUGAUUUUAUUAUCGUUUUUGAGUAAAUGCAUAAUAUUAGAAUUGAGUGGAUUUGAGAUAUGUUGAAUAAAAAGAAAAUGAGAUUUCAGAUGUGAUUAUAUGUUUAUGUACAUGUGUAUAAGUGUUGUUUGGAAAAUCAUUGGACAGUAUCCUUCCCCUCCAUAUACAGAGACACAGAUAAUACGAGAUGAAUACAGAGAUACAGAUGAGAUGAGGUAGAGGCAUUUGGGGCCUGUCUGAAUACACAUAGAGGCUUUAGGCCGUGUGUUUGGGCGUUUUUUCCUUUUGGGGACUUAUGCAUGCAGUAUGAUAAUUACAGAGAUACAGAUGUUGAGACACAUGAGAUAUGAGAUGAGAUUUCCCCAUCUAUCCAUUGUAGCUCCGGGGCAUGAUGGUUCCCUGAUUGCCCAUCCGUCGAGGUCCGGAUAUGAUGAGAUCAUUCCCCUGGGUACUUGUUUGAUGAUAGUUUUUAUUAUUCAGUAUUUGAUAUUAUAAGUAUUAUGAUUUCAUUGAUUUUAUUCAAAUUUAUGUAAUAUAGUUAUUUCUGUAAAUGAUUUGAAUUGAAUAUGUUUAUAUAAGUUCUCAUGAUAUUUUGAUGAAAUUGAUUUGAGAAAGAUUAAAUCACUUUAAAUAAAUUUAUUUUUUAAAAAAUUACUAUUCACUCACUGAGCUCACUAAGUUUUAUAUUCGCUUCGUUUUUAUUAUAUUUUUUCCCCCCACAGGAGAUUUGCAGGUACAUCAAUCGACCCAGCAACGAUAGUUAAAUUUGAAAUUGUGGCCACGUGAUGGUGCUAGGAGUCAUAGAUUUAAUAUUUUGAUAUUUGGGAUAUUGCGAAUUGUAUUUAUUUAUUAUAUUUUGUAAUUAAGGAUAACCAUUGUAUUUUAAUAUUAGAAUGAUUUGUGUGAUAUUUGAUAUGUUGACUUGAGAAGUUGGUUAUGAAAGAUGGAUGAAUAUUGAAUUAU
rnacentral:lncRNA from 1 species